rnacentral:lncRNA from 1 species
UUCUUCAUCUGGAAUGCCAAUGGAAGAGGUUUAUGGAGCAUGAUUUUUAUCUUCGAAAGAAGUGGAUGCAUCCACCUUCUGCAAAUUUUCUUUAUGAAUGAUGGAAGACUCCCGUCGAUCAUCAUUCAUCUCGAUGUCCUCACCACAAGAAAAAAGAUCAAGAUUAGAGGAUAUUUGAUCUUGGGCCAAGGUAAGAUCAGGAGG